rnacentral:rRNA from 1 species
GACGAACGCUGGCGGCGUGCUUAACACAUGCAAGUCGAACGAAGUGGAGAACGGGAGAGUAGUGCGUGGGUAACCUGACCUCCUCUUUGGGAUAGGCCUUGGCAACGGGGUAUAAUACCGAAUAAAGUGGGGUGGGCUCGGGGCCUAUCAGCUUGUUGGUGGGGUGGUGGCCUUACAAGGCGGUGACGGGUAGUCGGCCUGAGAGGGUGGCCGGGCAAAUGUGGACUGAGGGACGGCCCAGAAUCCUACGGGAGGGAGGAGUGGGGGAUAAUGCAAAAUGGGCGAAAGCCUGAUUCCGCGACGGCGCGUUGGGGAUGAAGGCUUUCGGGGUGUAAACCUUUUUCGGUAUCGAACGGGUAGGUGGAGAAGAAGCGCCGGCUAACUACGUGCCAGCCGCCGCGGUAAUUC